rnacentral:tRNA from 1 species
GCUAUUUUGGCAGAAAAAUGUAAUGAUUUUAGAGUUCAUAAAUGUAUAAUAUUAAUUAUAUAAAUAGUA